rnacentral:rRNA from 1 species
GACGAACGCUGGCGGCGUGCCUAAUACAUGCAAGUCGAGCGCAGGAAAUCAUCCGAACCCUUCGGGGGGACGUUGAUGGAAUGAGCGGCGGACGGGUGAGUAACACGUAAAGAGCCUGCCCUCAGGUCUGGGAUAACCACGAGAAAUCGGGGCUAAUACCGGAUGGGUCAUCGGACCGCAUGGUCCGAGGAGGAAAGGCGCUUCGGCGUCGCCUGGGGAUGGCUUUGCGGUGCAUUAGCUAGUUGGUGGGGUAAUGGCCCACCAAGGCGACGAUGCAUAGCCGACCUGAGAGGGUGAUCGGCCACACUGGGACUGAGACACGGCCCAGACUCCUACGGGAGGCAGCAGUAGGGAAUCUUCCACAAUGGACGAAAGUCUGAUGGAGCAACGCCGCGUGAACGAUGAAGGCCUUCGGGUCGUAAAGUUCUGUUGUAAGGGAAGAACAAGUGCCGCAGGCAAUGGCGGCACCUUGACGGUACCUUGCGAGAAAGCCACGGCUAACUACGUGCCAGCAGCCGCGGUAAGAC